ACAGGCGCAUCUCCUGAAACAGAAUGUUGUUUUACAGGAACAUCAGAAAGUGCAAAAGUAACUAAUAAAACAGUGACAGUCCCACUGUAACCACAAGGACUACAAACAGUAAACAGUGCCCCCCUAUUUAUGAGUGAACAGAAUAUAUGUAGCUAUCAGAGCCCUUUCUUAACAUCACCAGUUUGGGUCAAGAAUAGAUUCUGUAAGAGAGCUCAGUUUAUUUCUCAGUCUCAGACUGUUUCCAUGAUGAAUGUUCUUACAGGAUUCAGAUGAUUCACUGGAUCAAGAACAGAAAUGUCAGCUGUGACCAGCUCUGUCAAAUACUGUUGUUCUCUACCUUAGCUCACUGCUCUAUGCUCACAGUCAACAGCAGCACUCCUAUGUUUGUACUUGGCAGAAUUAUGCUCAAUGCAUCUGUUGUUGCAUGUUUCCUUCCUUAAAAAUAUGUGCUUAGGAAAAUUCACGAUGCACUUACAUAUAAAAGGAUUGCGUUGAAAACACUGUAGAAAUAUUUAUCCACAGCUGAGAAGUUCUUGUCAAUUUUCUCUGAAACAAAGAAUAGUAAUAACAUCUUCCCAUGGUGAGAUAUAUCUGAUUAUAAGAUUUCUAAUCUGUUAAGCAACCAUGUUGUGCAACAGGUACCACAUGGAUUCCUAGCUGCUGCCCUACUUUGACAUCUCAAGCAGCAGUAGGUAAUGAAGGAAGCCUUCGUCUACUGCAAACCCGGCCCACUCUGCAAGUUCAGUUGAUUGGUAGCUCAGCCUCACCCUGGGGACCUGCUCCCCUGUACAAGAGAUAACACCACAAUCCCUGGGCUCCCCUAAGACCAACUGCAAGAUUUUCGAAUGCAAAACACAGGAGGAGGUUUCUUGGACACCAUUAGCCUCUCCUGCAAAGGCUGGUAAUAGUCUGAAUUUCAAAAGCCUCCUCUGCCCAGUUACAUAGGUAGAAUUGCUGGUCACUGUGGAGAAAAGAUACAAGGGAUUUUCAAGAUACUCAAGCAAGACUUGGCCUGAUUUCAAUCAAAGCUGAGAAAUGAGAGCUUUUAAAGCCUGAAAUUUAACUCCAUUUUCUGCUUUUAUACACACUUUAAAUAAUGAGUUUUCUUGCUGUUUUUCACUAAGGUCUGUUGCUUUCUUGCAAUAAGAAUGGAUCUAAGAAUAAUGAGACACUCGGUGACAUUUUCAUCCCAAUAAAAAAACCCUUGCCUUAUUCUUUCACAGUUCUCAAGUGAUGCUCGCAUGUAUCUCAGUAUCGUCUUAUCAUUUGCAGCUAGUUUCAGAUCUCCCUCUUCACCCAGCUCAUGCGCAGUCUUCCCAAACAUUUUUUUAUAAUGUUCAAUGGCACUGCAUGCCUCCAUUUGUUUGCUUUCUUUUAAAAAACAGUGGAUGGUUCUCCAUAGUGAAGAUUUUAUAGACAAGCAAAGUAAAAACAAGCCUCUUUUAUCCUUGCCUCCUUUCACUCUAACAAGUGAAUAGCUUAGAUGUACGUUAAGUAUUUGAAAGAAUAAUACAAUUUAACCAACAUACGCUGCUUGGUGACCUAAAUCACCUGCUUUCAUAGACAGUUGACAUUAUUUACAUUGGGGCUUUUAUGUAGAGACUCAUUUUGAAUGACCCUUCAGAGUGAAUAUGCGCAGUAGGAGCACUACUCAGUGUAUCAGCACCUACCACUUACUGUACUGUCUCCAGCUACCAUGUAUUUUUCAACCAUGUGACUACAACUCUGAGGAAAAAAAAAGCUUUUUUUUUUAUUUUGGUCAGUGGCUGACUUUAAGACCAUACUCUGCACACAAAAAAAACUUGAUUCCUUUCACUGAUGAAACAUAUCCAGCAUACCCUAAACCUGACAUUUCCUUCCAGGGAGUCAGCCCUUGACAAGGGUGAAGCCAACUCUGGAUAAUUUCAAGGCAGACUGGAAUAAGCCACCUUUUCGUUGCAGUAUCUGAUGUGGCCAUAGACAUAAAACAUUUGGAGACUUACUUGGUGUCUUUUCAGAGAAAAAUAUUUAAAAAUGAAGCUGCAGAUCAGACAGCUGAGCUGACAAAGCUUACAGGAAGUGAACACAGUAAACAAGUCUCCAGACACUGCAAGACAAGAAGAGCAAAUAUUUUCUUCCUUGGGAAGGCAACUAGUUUUUACUAAUUUUUUAUUUGACUAUAUCCCAUAGGUGUCAGAUAACAGGGGAAGAAACAAGUAAGGAUGUGGAUUGGUGUCAGUAUGGAUUUAAUGAGAAAUACUAUCAUUAUAACAUUAAGAUUUUUAAAAUCAUAAUAUUUUAAGGAGUUUGUUUUUUUUUUUAAACUGAGACUUAUACAUCCACAAUUUCUUCGAGUAUUGCUACAUUAUUUUAUCUUGCCUAUAUAUAGUCAUGAAUAUUAUUCUGUGUUAUUGGACAUUCCAUGAUACAAACUAUAAUAUCAAGGUACCAUUAUUUCCUAGUUUAUCCUUGCUAUAAAGUCAUUAUUUCCAAAUGUUGACUCCGUAGAUCUCUAAAGAGUUAAAUGUGAGGAACUCAAAACCUCAUAUAAGACAAUAAUAAUCCCAUAAACAAAUGUAGCUUCAUGGUACUAAGUAGAUGAGCUUUGAUCUCAGUGGGGCACCUCUAGCUCUGAACGCCAGUCUCGAAUCUGACCAUUAAAGCAUUAGUCUCAACCACCAGAAUGGGAUGUGUUUAGAGAGGUGCUGUGUCACCAUACACAAUUUUGGGUUUUGAAGCUGAUGAGUUUAAAAUCAUCUAUAAGGAUAAGUUUACAGCCAACUGUAAGAAUCUAGAACACUUGUGAUGGAUCACCUUCAGACUCUUCUGCCUUUCUCUUCCCUACAUCUACCUGACCAUAAUCAUGCAGGACCUGUUUUUAUCUAUUUGUAUUUUUACAUAGCUUUGCAUUUGCUUCUUUGAAAUUAGACCUCCCAGCAUAACUUUCAGGUUGAACUCACUGAGACAUACUGCAUGGACAUCUCCAAUAAGUUGAAGUUUGAGACUGUAUGAUACUCAAAGUAUUAACUGCAAUAAUUACUUAUUUUAUGGCAUACCAGCUUAUUAUAAUAUGAAAACCACUGUCAUUGUGAUUACCAACAGAACACAUAGCAACUGGGAAAAUAAGGUGUUCCAAGUUCAUAAUUAUCAGAGCUUGCAUGCAACAUUAUUAGAUCCCAUGCAGGUAACAUAGAAAAUUUUAUAUCUAAUUGACUUACCUACAGAAAAUUCAUGCUGUCUCCUGCCCAGGGGUGCAAAUCUCCUUGGAAGAGCAAGACCAGAAUUGAGGAGCCAGGAGAGAAUUUUUACAGUCUUUCACUGUUCAUUAAGCGAAGAUCUGCAAGACACAACCUGAUGUUGUCUGUCUUUUUAAGAGAUACAUCUUCCAAGAAACCUGGGCUUUUAAUUUACAGAGCUCAGAAGAAUGUGAGAAUAUGAUAGUCUGCAUCUCUGUGGGGACCAAUUAUUGCUGGAUGAUAUUGUGUUUUUUGGUUUUUGUUUUUGUUUUUUUUGUUUUUUUUUCUUCUCUUUUUUUUCCCCACAAAUAGAAAUUGUUCGAUUUCAGCACGUGGAAAAUCCAGGAAGCUAAUCCAUGCAGAGCACUAAUUCUGCUCUCAAACACAAGAACACACACAGUUUCUGAAUGUAUGUGGUAAUGACCUCCAGUAUGAUGCAGAAAUGUAGGGAUGGCUUUUACAAGAUAUCCAGCAAUGCAAGGCUGCUACAUAUCGGAUAAGAUCCAAGCCCUUGCUGUGUAACCUCCACAGCCUUAAUGAUGUUCUUAAUGGAUACGUGGGCUGAAAUUUACAGUUUCAACAUGAGAGCUGAGAGUUGUGGGUGUUUUAUAUUGUUAUUUUAAUUAAAUAAAUAAGACAUCAAAGUGAUUCUAGAGACAGCAAAUGCAAGUUUUUCUCAUUUUUUACAAUGCUCAGACAGUCUACCAUGAUUUCUCAUACAGCGUUCUGUUAAAGUUGUAAGGGAGGCUCCAAGUCCCAGAUUUUGUUUCAGAAGCAUGAUGAGUGCAUCUGUAUGCACGUUUGAGAGACUACAAAAUUAGUAUAUAGAUUAUCUUGGACUUCAAUAUCUCAACUGGGAAAUGAGGAUAAACUUCUUUUACUGUACAUACCUUUAUGUACUACAUAGCAAUAGCUUUCAGUACACAACUGAGAUGUAUUGUCUCUUUUUUUUUUUUUUUUUUUGAAGUCGCAUUUGGAAGUAUAUAUUAAUUUAUUGCACUUUACAGAUACAUGAUAGAAAUCAAACUGCUGAAUGUAAUCUGAGCAGGAAGCUGAAGAGAAAGAUUAAAACAGUAUUUUAAAUUUAGUCUAGUUUGCAAAUGACCCUUGACUCUUUCUGCUUUGUGUAUUCUUAGAAGGAAAAUAUAUGUAAAAUAUGUUUCCUUCUCACUUUAUCAGGUCUAUGUUAUUAAGGGCAAACCAAUAACAAAUAAACCAAACACAAAUAUUGUUGAUUGUAUUACUAUAAACUAAUAUUACUGGACAAAUUAUUAACAAAUAAUAACUCCUUAUAGCCAUUUGGUAAACACUGGAUGAAUUUUUGUUAAAGAUCAUUAUGCCAUAUAUUUUCAGCUGCUCUGGGAAUUGUGUUUAUGGCCAAAAAUCAAACCAAAGCAGAGUAUAUGGCCACAAAAAAAGAAAAGAGCUAUUUUCACUAAUAGCUUAUGAAUGAUUUUGCAAUAUAAUUUCAUUGGGUGUUAGAAUAUAUUUUAUUUUAUCAGUUUCAGAUGUUUCAAUUUUUUUUCAGCUUUCACUUCUACAAGUAUUUCAUUCCAUUUCAGUCUAACGAUAAAAUUUCAUUUUAACUGCUGGAUAUAUUGGUUUCUCCACAGUUUUUCUUCUUUUUAUUUUAACCACUUGAGGACUUGUACCACAACGAGAAUGUCUCUUUGUUCUCUCUGUCUGAUUUAAAGCAAAUUGCCCUAUGUACUACAGUAGUUUUGAAUGUAUUAAAAGUUUUUAAAAUCAUGAAUUAUGUGAAAUAUUCUAACAGUUUAAGUUUAAAUGAUGCAAUUAGCCAGUUACAACUGGAACUACCAGGCCUUAUUUAAAAUAAUGAGGUCUGACAGUUAUGGAGCCUGAAUUAUUCAUUGAUAACUAGAUUUUCCUCUUUUGCAAACCAUGGCUAACAUUAAUAACAGAGGUGUAAGUGUGAUAACAAAAGAGUUUGACAUUGGGAAUACAAAUACAAACGUGCUAAAUUCUCCCUUAUUUAAAAUUACUUCAGUAGUAACAUUUCCAAAGAAAAAUUCUUAAGAUUAUUUUCUCAUAGAUUUCAGCAUUUGCUUCUGCAUGGAAUCGCUGUUUAAAGUAACAGAUCUUGGUGCCUCAAAGAGAAUAUUUUCAAAAUACAGUUAAUUUCUUCAUGUGCAAUAUUGUAAUAUUGUAAGUAUGUUAUCUUACAAAUAAAAUACAGCACUUUC